UUUUUUUCCUUCCCUUUUUUUUUUUUUUGUUUUUAGGGAGAAAAACUUGGGAGAACAGUUUCACUUCCGUGGAUCCUCCCCCCGUUUGCUCUUAUAUUUCUUUCGACACGCUUGGCUCUUUGUGUGUUUCCAGCCAGGCAGCAGCAGCAGCAGCCGACCCCCACCGACCGACCGAUUGGCUUAUGUAUUUGAAACUCAAACGCUGUGGUCUUCUACAACGCCCUAACGUUCAUCCAGCAGGAUCAGUUACAACUAAUCUGUUUAAUCAGCCAUUUAUUUUCCUUUGGAAAAACACACACAGGAGAGAAGAGACCAACGGAACUGUAUUUUUUCUUCUUUUUUCCCCUGGAAGAGACCAAAUAAAAAAGGGAAGAAACAUCCCCCCGGUCCGUCUUAGCCUAUACGCAGCUGGGGUGAUGGCCAUCAUUUCGAAAUGCAUCCAUCAUCAAGUUUCCACUCGAGAUGACUUCAAUCAACAACAAGGAAGCGGGAAAAAAAAGUCCGUUGUGACUUUACCCCGUUUUCUAAAAGUGACGGAUCGUUCGUGCCAGACUUAACGACCCACAAAAACUUGAAUAGUUUUUCUUGUCAUGUUUGUUGUUGCGGGGGGAAGAGAAAUAAAAAUGAGCCGGCCGUGACGGAGAUAUCGAUAGAUAGCCCGUGAGUAACCCAAUCAUGCUACUAGUAUACCUGGGCACAACAAACCACUUGGCCGCCAUCAUUGAAGCGCAAGUGCGAAUGAUGUUACUAGGGGAAAAAAGAAGAAAAAUGCGCACCGCAAUAGUUUCAUAUAACGCGCCGUCUUGAUUUUGGUUUUUCUCACAGCCAGUGAGAGAAAGAGAGAGAGAGAGAUAUAUGUGCGCAAGAGUGCGGAACAACACCAGCUGUUGCUACCAUUUUUAAAUCAAUAGAUGCGGAGGUUAGGAGCGCGGACGGGCGGCAUGUGCGCGCGCGAUUUCUCCUCGGCCGCAUCCCCUGGCUGCCCCUGACUGGUCAGUCGGCUGAUGAGCUUAAACAGGUAGUCACUCACAAGUAGGCCUAAAGCAGAUGGUAGACUGGUCAAAAAACUUUGGUUGGCAAACGAGAGGAGGAACAAGCCCCCACCAAAUGCUAUAAGAAAGAGAAUGAGAGAGAGAUAAGAUGGAGGGGUUUUGGGUGUUUCGAGGGGGGAAAAAUAAAUAGAAACAGAGCAGGUGUUGGCUUAGAUAUCUUGAGGAGGAGGCACGUGUUUACCAUAUGAAAUGUGGAAUAACUUUCGUUUCUGUAUGUGUGGUGGUGAUCGACAGAAGAAGAAGGGAAACAAACCACCAAACAUCUCAGAAAUAUACAAAUAAUAAAAGGUCAGCCAGUCUGUGUGUAUGUUGAUGACCGGGGCUCCAGCUUGGCUUGGCGCCGAAUUAGCAUCAACUGUCGGAAUAUUUAGCCUUUGCGCUCAUCUGAAUUUGUGAUGAAACGGGAGAAAAAGAAGAAAAAGGGUCCUCGACGCGUAUCGGAAAUGAAACAGUCUGCAUUGAUGAACGUCGUACACUACAAAUUGCCUAGCGCGUUUCGAGUAGUUCGUGACUGCUGCCGGCGACGUUCAAUAAUUCAUGGUCAACAACUCAAAACAUUGGGGCUUUUCAAACGAAAUCGACACAUAUUCGGCAGGGGCUCGGUAGGGGGGACCCGAAGAGAGUCACGACUCUCUUCGGCUUUUUACGAUGGCGGCCAGGGGGGCCAGCAAACACACGCAGCUCUUACAAACGUUACAGAAGAAAAAAAGAGCGCAUCUCUUCUUCAUCCCGAUCAGCGCUUCUUGUCGCAUCUUCUUCAACUGGUUUCAUAAUAAAUGAGCCAAAGCAGGUGUUGAACCUCUCUCUUUCCUUCUCCCAAAUCGAUCAACUUCCAGGAGGGGGGAAAAUAGAGAGUCACUGAUCCAGACUCGGGGAAAAAGCGCAAGGAGAUUGACAGAUGUGACGAAGCAUGCGUCUAUAUAAUCCUGUGACAUCUGCCGCCUCCAUGUUAUUUUCUUCGUCCUCCCUCUCUCUCUCAUGAUGGUUGGGAGGUGGGGGGGAAAGAAACUUUCAACGGAGACAUCGUCGUGCAGCUUGAUGAAAGCCUGUCACGGGCAUUCGUUACGUGUUUGUCACAGUCUAAACUCGGCUAAGUGCUGAUUCGACAAAAAAAAGAGCGGCGAUAUAUUCCUGGAUUUUAUUUUAUUUUCCCCUUCCUUCCCGGAGCACACACACACAGACAGACGUCAUCAAUUUAUCAUCCAUCGAAUGCAUUACCGCCCGUCUAGAAAGAGCGACGGUAAUAGUCGACGGAGAGCUGUGAGAGGAAAUUGCAUUUUUCUAUUUACGGUUUUACAGCGCAAUUAGCCAUCGUCUUCAAUAGAGCCAAGUAGUCAUUCUUUCGCUCGGGUGCGACUUUUAAACUGGAAAUGACGACCAAUUUUCUCUCAGUAUUUUUGUUUUUGUUUUUUUAGAGCGGAAAUGAAACUUGUCGGAGCAAUUUGUUGAUCACUUUUGAAAUCAAAGUUGACGUUCACCUGAUCGUUUCAACAGUUCUCUCUCUCCCUCCUUUGAAAUAAACUUGGUCCCGUCAACGAGACUAUUUACGAUUUCAAGCUCCGCCCUUCAAUUAAAAUGCGUUGCGGCGGACUUGACGAAAGGCAUUUUCGGUUAUAAAGACGGGAGCAGAAUGCAGAAACUCCCAUGAAAAGAAAAAAAACAAAAAAACUGCUAUGCUCGAUAGAAAUAAACAGCGUUUUUGAAAAUAAACAGUAGAAAUACAUAUUUUCUACAUUGCCGGGCCAACGCCUUAUUCAAAACGUGCACAGGGUUAUUUCUUUUUUUUCUUUUAAGACCAUCCGACCAACUUUUGAACGCACACACAAGAAAAAAAAGGGUAAUAAAAAGCCGAGCCACUGGACACCCAUGAUGUAGUUUCAUUUCCACAAAGAGUGCAUAACUAAUAACGGAAAAUGCUAUAUAAGAGAAGACGACGAAAGGAGCAGAAGAGAAACAACAAACAAACAAGAAGAUUGAAGACAAGCCCCGUUAUGAGAGGUAAAAGUUCAAAAAUGGAUUUCUAUCUUUUUUCCUUCCCUUAUUUUCUUGAUGGGGCUCUUCUUCAGCCCCGACAGGCCCCAUAUCAAACCAAAAGGCAAAAAUGCGGGGCUGUAACCAACAAAAACAAAAAACCUACUAGGCUCCUCUUGUAUUUUAUUUUUCUUGAUUUAAUAACAAGGACGAUUACGUAUUCAAACAAAAAAGAAAAAAACAAAAAGUUUUAUAUCUAGGUCUUUCAUCUUCUUGUCAUGUGUCACUUCUACUCAACUGAUGAAGACAACGACUUUGGGUUUGUUUUUCUUUUCUUUCGCUUCAUCCGUCUUCUUAUAUAAAAAGAUAUCAUAUCAAAAUAUCAAAAUAGCGAUAAUUUUCAAAAAAAGGCCAGAAAAAGCAACGAUGCCAUCUAACGGUUAAAAGAGCCGUUUAAGCAAAGCUAGUCUACUACAACCACCGAAUCCUGUUGACGAGACCCUCCCGACGACAGCCAAGGCAAAAAGAAAAUAAAAAUCCGGACCGGUUCAUGACUUGACAGUCUUUUUUUUCUGACAUUUGAAACGAAAGAUAACAAAAAAAAAAGUCAAUAUAAUAUUCGAAUGAGGCCGCCGACGUCAUCGGAUGGUGUCAUAUUGUCUUAAUAUUAUUCGUUAUCUCGACGAACCAGACAACCGAAAAGCCUCUCUUUCAUAUUUUUGAACUAGAAAAUAAUUAAUGAUUUUUAUUUUUUCAUCACUGAUAAAAAAAUUAAUUAUUCAAAAGCGACAGUUAGAAUUGCGCAACGAGGGGCGAUGUUUUUUUCACGAGGUGUUCACAGAGGCUGAAAAAUUAAAAAAGGAGAGCCGCACACAUAUUCGUUAUAAUGGUCGCAAUGAUCUCAUCGGGUAGCCAAAGAACGUGUCUGUUAAUAAAUGCGAUAACGGAACCGGACUUUGAAUGUGGCACGAACCCGAGAGAGUUCCUUGACUGAAUGUUUCUUAUAGACAUUAGACUUCCAUCAGUCAUUAGAUUUCAUCCGUCGUAAUCCGUCAUGACGACAGCGAUGAGAAAAUGGGUGUUACAACGACUCCGCCCUGGUUUUUUUGAAACCAAAACACAUUGGAAGAAAAAGAAACCCAGCCCCUUUCAUUUCAAAUUCCUCCUUUUUCGUUUAUCCCCCCCCCCCAUCGGAAAAAAACAAAGUUCCAUUCGUCUAAAUAUAAUCGAUUUCAAGUGUUGGGUCAUCCAAUACAUUCACCCCCCUCCACCAUCACCCUUCUUCAGUGUCUGAUGUAUAUUCAAGAGAAAGAGGUCUAAACGACUUUCAAUUCUUCGACUUUAUACAGGCAUGGCAGCUCGGCAUUGUCUGAGUGAAAGGACAUUAGUAAAACUCGGCACGUAGUUUUAGAUACAUUUUUUCGUACAUGCUAUGUCAUUUGGUGCCAGGUCGAGCGUCAAGGUAACGCAGACAUUUCGGUUGUUUGUUUUUUUCGGAAAGAAGAAAACAACAACAACAACAACAACCGAAUAAAAAUCAAGAAAAACAAGAGGGAAUGCGUUGCUGGCCAUGUUUGGGAUGAAUCCCGCGGCGCUGCAGUUCAAUUCGGAGGGGGGGGGGAAGAAGAAGAAAACAAUGCCUACAACACACGUCGGCACUCCACUCACAAUAAUUGGAUGGCAAACACCUUUUCAAUGUGGAAUGAAUCCUCCGUUAAACAAAAAAUAUAAAAACUGGCAAGAUAACAACAAAUCCUUUUCUUUCUUCUUUUUUUCCCGAUUGUCAAGCGCCAAGAAAAAAACGGAAACCACACACACUAUAGUGACUAUACAUCUAUCCGAAAUCGAGGUUACGGUGCAUCACGAAAACAACGAAUGGGGCUCCGGAAGCUCUCGUGACAAAACAAGCUCAAAUAAAUCGUCAAACAACUGGGCGUCCGAAACGGCGCUCACCCAAUCAUUGACACCGAAUUCCCAUUUUUUCUCGUUACUUUUCCUCUUUUUGUUUUGUUUUGUUUUCAAACAGAAAAACAGAACUUGGCAACGCUCGCCUGUACACACGAAUCGGCGUAAAAAAGGGAGGGUAAAAACAAAAACAACCGACAAACGAGACGAUGGAUGAUUCACGUAAAGGAUCCGGUACUAGUACUACUACUCUCUGGCUGGCUGGAUGGCUGGCUAGGGCGGAGGUCCUCGUCCAUCAAUCCUUGGGACGAAAAAGAGGCUGAACAAUUUUUGUUGUUUAGCGUGCAGUAAAGCAUUGCGUCAAAGAAUCGCUGUUUUACACCCACACACGCCAGCCAGCCAGCCAGUCAGCCCAAGAAUCCGUGUGGGAGUGUUUUUGAAAUGGCAUCGUCCUAUAACUUGGGAAUUCCGGUGCGGCACGGGCCACGUCUAGAUGACGAAAUCUGGCGCGACAAGUACAAGCAGCAAUCAUAUGCUGCUCUUGAAAUGGGCAAAAAUAAAGAGAGAGAGAGAGGCGCCUUUCUACUAUACUGAAGAAAAAGAGCGAUGAAUUUCCAUCAGCAUCGCUCGAAUUCCUCGACAACUCGGCACCGGCAACGAUUUCUCUCCCUUUAACUUUCCUCCUCCCUUUUCUGUCCGCAUCCAAAACUUCUUCCCUAUUCUCUCUGGCUCGUUUUUUUAAAAAGGUUAUCUUUUGCCCAGCUUGAGACUCCUCCCCUCCAUCGCGAGUCCCUCCACUUGCAAGGGCGGUGCAAUCAUCUUAUAGAGCUGCCGCGUAAAACGCUUGUACAAAAUCCCUGCCAGACACAAAUCUAACAUGCUCCUCUUAUAACAACUUAGAUAUAUAAUACAAUCAUUCGAGUGGGGCACUAAAACGUCAAAUCCUUUCGGGCAAUAGGCCAAAUCAGCCAUUCAACGUAAUCUACGGACGGACAGUGAAACCAAUCGAUCGAUUGGUUGAGGCCCUCCUCCUCUUCUCCAAAUGGUCCCCUCCAACAAAUCAUUACCUUAAAUUACCUUUAAGGCCAUUAACAUGAAGGUAAAAAGCACUGAACAAAAGGGGGAAAACCAAACGAAAUGAAAUCAGUAAUGGAAGUUUCGAGAUGCGCUUGGAUGGAAGGAAGGACGCGAAAAAAAAGAAAAGAAAAGACAAAAAUGCUUGUCGGUGGUGUAGAGAGAAAAUACUGCAGUCGUAAGAUGACACGAUCUGGCACUCAAGUUAUAAGAUGGCUUGGGUUUUCUCUGCCACUGGCUGGCUGGUUCAAAUAACCCUCGAACUCGAGAGAUGGAAUAACCCGAAAUGGAAAACGACAAAGUGUACGGGGGUAUAUGGCGUCUUUCUCACGCCACCAUGAGAGCUGUGUGCAGCACCAAAUAGAAAUAUUCGUCUUCUCCCCCCUCCUCCUUUCCCCCCUCCCUCCAAUCUCAGAGUUGCACCCACUAUACACUGGUGUGUGUAGGUAAGUAUAAGAAGAUUUAUUGCGUGUAUGCGGAGCUUCUUCUUCCUCCUCCCCAUCCGGAGCAACAGAGAAAUGUAGACACAACAGGAAAAGUGCGGGAAGGGAGGCAAGAAGAAGGAUGGAAGAAACAGCCACUGGAUACAUUAACAUCCGCAUUGUGUUACAAAACGCGGACCGCAAGGAGGGGUGGGAAGGGGAGGGAAAAUAAGAAAAAUCUCCUGCUGCUCCGGCCGGACCAUCUCGGUAAUGUUCACCAUUGGAGAGCAACGGCGGAGAAUGCGUCAUAUCAAUAAGCAAUUCAAAAAAAGUAUCAGAUCCAAACGAGAUAAGAUUAUAUUAAAGGGACCCCCCAGCAAAUGCGAGUCUUGUUCCGAGCUGGAUAGUUUCAGGUCGUAAAACAUGUCAGACCUUUCCUCCCUCCGCACUUUGAUUUCCAGUAGAAGAAAAGGACAAAAAACAUUGUAGUGCGUACAAGUUAAACUUAACGAGACCAAAAAAAGAAAAAAGAAAAAGAGAGUGGGGUCUCCUGGAUUUUCUUUCUUGAAAUCAAAUUGACGCCGGAUCGCAUUCCCAACCGAACAGAUCACCGCCGCCGCCAUCCCUUACGCAAGACUGCGACUGCUGGAAUGUUUUAAUGACCGGCAGAUUGGCCGCAUAGUUUGUUUGCGCGCCCAAGCACCCGGUGACGGAAUCCAGUCAAAACUAAUGCCAAAUAAGGCCCGAAGCCAGUCAACAACAACAACAACAAAAAAAACAGGUAGCAUGUCAUGACUUACCAUAUGCAAAUUGUCCAAUUCUCCCAGCCAGGUGUUGAGUAGUGCUUGAGGAUCAUCCCACGCCAGUUCCGGUUUAGCCGCUGCCGGUUUAGCGACAGAGUCUUCCGUUUCCGAAUCCGGCUCGGCUUCACUGUUGGACAGGUAGCAAGCUUCUUCGUAAAAAUCCGACAUGGUUCUCCUCAAUUCGGAUUUGACUUGGCGGAUUAAACCCAAAUCCUGUAAACCUAUAAAACUCUUUAAAAAAAAAGAAAAAAACAACGUAAGUACAAAGUUUUCCCAAAAACAAACUAACAACACAUUGUGUGAAUGUCAAAUGGCGUUGUUGUAAAAUGCAAAUCACAAAUGUCGG